rnacentral:lncRNA from 9 species
GAUUGCGAUCAGAGAAAUGUGCAAAGACGCAUAGACCAAGGAUGUUCAUUACCAUGCUGCUUAAAAUACUGAACAGCUAUUGCAAAAAGAAAUCUCGUCUUUAAAGAGAAACCUGCUCCAUAAAGAAGAGUAAGCAGGGUCGGGUCUGGCCCGGAUGCUGGUUCAGGGGUUUCCUUCAAAGACGGAGGUGGGGCCUGGGUCAGAUGAUGCUGGGGACCCAAGUAGUUCGUCCCCUUGAGCAGGUCACAACCUCAGCACUCAGUUUGAGGCUAAGGAAGUGGAGCGAAGAGAAGCAACCUCCCCAGAGUCACUGGGAGGCUGAGAUGCAGCACUUGCGGCUGAUUGACGAGAAAGAGGUGCGGAGUGGACGUGGGAAGCUGAGAACCUCUCUGGUCAGCUCUUGGAAAAAGAAGGAACUCUCUCCUUUGAAAGGAGCUCAGGGUUUGUCGAGAAGCCAGCUUGAGCCCCUUGGAUUCCAGAGCCGAGGAAAUGUGCAACAUUCUAUCUCAGCGUGGAGAGAAUGCGGAUCUCAUCAAUGACCACUUUUCAUGGACUUUUCAGAUUUGGAGCAGUUCAGAAGCCCUUUUAUACCCUCUGAACCCUCACAUAGGUGCUGAAGAGAAUAAAGAUUUCCUCCUUCCAAUCUUCCCAGACGCAUAUUUCACGAUAGGAACCGUCAUCAAACGAAGUAAAAACCGAAGCGGGUGCACCUUCUACCUCCUCUGCCAAAAUAGACCCAAUCGGCCCUCCGUACGUCCUCUUCUUGUUUUUUUUUUUUCUUUUUUUUUCUUUUUUUUAA